rnacentral:rRNA from 1 species
CGCACAAGCGGCGGAGCAUGCGGAUUAAUUCGAUGCAACGCGAAGAACCUUACCAAGGCUUGACAUGUGCCAGACCGCCGUGGAAACACGGUUUCCCCUUUGGGGCUGGUUCACAGGUGGUGCAUGGUUGUCGUCAGCUCGUGUCGUGAGAUGUUGGGUUAAGUCCCGCAACGAGCGCAACCCUCGUUCCAUGUUGCCAGCACGUAGUGGUGGGGACUCAUGGGAGACUGCCGGGGUCAACUCGGAGGAAGGUGGGGACGACGUCAAAUCAUCAUGCCCCUUAUGUCUUGGGCUUCACGCAUGCUACAAUGGCCGGUACAAUGGGUUGCGAUACUGUGAGGUGGAGCUAAUCCCAAAAAGCCGGUCUCAGUUCGGAUUGGGGUCUGCAACUCGACCCCAUGAAGUCGGAGUCGCUAGUAAUCGC